UGGAUCUGAUUCCAGAAUGAGAUCCAUGCAACAGACACAUCAUCGUCACCUGUGAUUUGUUUACUGGGAAGUCUUGAUCAAACAGCAACAGGAGGUUUCCGCCCUCGAGUCUCUGUCAGAUUGCAGCGCCGAUGUCAGGAGGUGGUGAGGGAGAGGGGAAGGCAGUGAGGCACACUAAGAAAGGGGAGACAGUGAAAGAGAAGGGCGUCACAAACUGCUCUAGCCGCCUUCCUGACCGGCUGCACAGGAUUUUGGUGUAAUUGGCAAGACCAGCGUUUGUUGUCCAGCCUAACUCUCCUUGAUUUAAGUGGCCAGAGUGUAGUUAAGAGCCACAUGGAGACCCCAGAAGGUCAGCAGUCCACAUCCCCCCCCCUCAGUAUGGCAGAUGACUGAGGCUUAAAAGGUUAAAGUGAGGAACACUUUGAAGGAAAUGCUGA